CCCUGUUAAAAGAAGUGCACUACGACCCUAUGGACCCCUGUCAAAAGAAGUGCACUACGACCCUAUGGACCCCUGUCAAAAUAAGUGCACUACGACCCCUAUGGACCCCUGUUAAAAGAAGUGCACUACGACCCCUAUGGACCCCUGUCAAAAGAAGUGCACUACGACCCUAUGGACCCCUGUUAAAAGAAGUGCACUACGACCCCUGUUAAAAGAAGUGCACUACAUAGGGAAUAGGGAGCCAUUUUAAAGUCCCCAACCUGUUGAUGUGUCAAAGAUUGCCGUUGGUCGCUAUGGUUACAAGGUUCCCCUUUGGAUGGUCUGUGUUGCUCCUCAUCCUCUUAUCGUCGGUCCCCGGGCGACAGUUACCAUAGAAACACGUCCUCUAUCGUCGGGCCCCGGGCGACAGUUACCAUAGAAAUACAUCGAAACGAAAUCAACCAAUCGAUCGAAUCAACGAUUUGACUGAUCUAACUAACAGCUAGGAAAGAAGAGGCCAUGCAUCAGUUUAAACACACAGUAGGACAUUAUUGAGUCGGUUUCAGAAACAAUGUGAAGGAGGUCAGAAACAAUGUGAAGGAGGUCAGUGGACCAACCUGUCGGGGAUCUUAAAGGUCAAUAAAAUGGCCACCUUAUGCUUCUGGCCAGCAGACAUUUCCACAGCAAAACAUGCAGCGCAAUGUGUGUGUGUGUGUGUGUGUGUGCGCAAGACACUGAGACACAGUAAAAAAACAACCACCCGUCAGUCAUCUCAAUGUCCCAUUACGGUUUCUUCAUCGCACACCAUCCUCAUGUCUCUUUUACAGUAGUUCUCAUUCAUUCAUCAUCCUCAUGUCUCUUUUACAGUUCUCAUUCAUUCACCAUCAUCACGGCUUUAAGUGUUAAGAUAAAUUCAUUCAUGAUGCAGAUUCUUCUCCCUUUUAAAAAGAGGUGAAAGUCCUUCCGGGCCAGUCAUCAUAAUAAUCAUCACAUCUUAAAAACACAACGGGGAUCAUUCCCUAUAUAGUGCACUACUUUAGACCAGAGCCCUAUGGCACCAUAUUCCCUACAUAGUGCACUACUAUAGACCAGAGACCUAUGGCACCCUAUCCCCUAUAUAGUGCACUACUUUAGACCAGAGCCCUAUGGCACCCUAUUCCCUAUAUAGUGCACUACUUUACCAAAGUAGGGAAUAGAGUAUCAUUUGGGAUGUAUAAGACCUAUCAAUCAAAGCAUCAGCUGUAAUCAGUCACUUUAAAUCAUCACUUUGCCGUUUGUAAUAAAACAACAACUGAAAAAAAUAGAAGUAUGGAACUUUUAAACAUCAGGAAAUACUUUAUAGAUUUGUUUAUGUUUUUUAGUUUUUAUCGUAUCUUGAUUUCACAUCACAACCAAUGAAGUACUUCACAGGAAAAUAUACAAUUCCAGGGUUUUUCCUCUUUUUGUGGGGGGAGGAUUGAAUAUUAUUUUUCUUAGUUUGUCAUCAAGGUGUUGGAAGUCCCUCAUGGUGGGUGUGUUGUUGUCCGUCUUAAUGAAUGGUCCGGGGGGAAACGAGGAUGCAGGCGGAACCAAAAUAAUCUUAAAUGGAGCCAAUUAUUUCUUUCUUUCAAUUAUUUCUCUAGAAGGGAGAGAAGUACGAGCCUGUCGCUAGCUAGCAGUGUCCUAACACUGUAAAAUGGCUUCCUUCCUCUGUCAGCUCUCUCCUUUCCUGUAUGUCUGGUACAGUAAGACACUCCUUCCUCUGUCAUGUGGCUUUCCUUGAGGCUCUUCAACGAUGUCAGAUCAGCAGCUGAGAGGGAAAGGAGAUGAGAUCAUCUGAUUUGGACGAAGAAAGACUAGUUGUGUGUCCGUCUGUUUAA
rnacentral:lncRNA from 13 species